GACGGCAAGUGGGCGACUGUCGGUGGCCUUCUCCUCAAAGAGGGGCUGCUGAGGAACUUCCCUUCACCCCCGGCUCAAAACCGGGAAAAAGGCGCGCAAGCGCCCCCGCUUAAGGCGGGAGCCGAGAGCAGAAACGAUACUUUCUCUGGCCGAGGAAUGACUCAACGACCGGCGAAGCAAGAGAAAGGUGAAACGGCUUGGCUUGGUGCAACGCCGAUUUGGCGGCUUAGUCCAAUGUUGCCGAAAACAGAAAAGGGGGUACGGCUCGCCGCC
rnacentral:RNase_P_RNA from 1 species